GCCGGUAUGGCGAAAUUGGCAGACGCAAGGGACUUAAAAUCCCUCGGUAGCAAUACCGUACCGGUUCGAGUCCGGUUACCGGCA
rnacentral:tRNA from 1 species